rnacentral:rRNA from 1 species
GAUGAACGCUGGCGGCGUGCCUAAUACAUGCAAGUCGAGCGAACAGACGAGGAGCUUGCUCCUCUGACGUUAGCGGCGGACGGGUGAGUAACACGUGGAUAACCUACCUAUAAGACUGGGAUAACUUCGGGAAACCGGAGCUAAUACCGGAUAAUAUAUUGAACCGCAUGGUUCAAUAGUGAAAGACGGUUUUGCUGUCACUUAUAGUUGGAUCCGCGCCGCAUUAGCUAGUCGGUAAGGUAACGGCUUACCAAGGCAACGAUGCGUAGCCGACCUGAGAGGGUGAUCGGCCACACUGGAACUGAGACACGGUCCAGACUCCUACGGGAGGCAGCAGUAGGGAAUCUUCCGCAAUGGGCGAAAGCUUGACGGAGCAACGCCGCGUGAGUGAUGAAGGUCUUCGGAUCGUAAAACUCUGUUAUUAGGGAAGAACAAAUGUGUAAGUAACUAUGCACGUCUUGACGGUACCUAAUCAGAAAGCCACGGCUAACUACGUG